UACAGCCACAUCACGUUGAAUUGCCGCUUCUCGUGUGAUCACCGAAGUUAAGCAACGCAGAACUUGGUCAGUACCUAGAAGGGUGGCCACUUGGGAAUACGAGGU